UCCUACGGGACGCAGCAGUGAGGAAUAUUGGUCAAUGGGCGGAAGCCUGAACCAGCCAAGUCGCGUGAGGGAAUAAGGCCCUACGGGUCGUAAACCUCUUUUGCCGGGGAGCAAGGGCGGGGACGUGUCCCGGCCCGGAGAGUACCCGGAGAAAAAGCUCCGGCUAACUACGUGCCAGCAGCCGCGGUAAUACGUAGGGAGCGAGCGUUGUCCGGAAUUACUGGGUGUAAAGGGAGCGUAGGCGGGAUGGCAAGUCAGAUGUGAAAACUGAGGGCUCAACUUUCAGACUGCAUUUGAAACUGCUG
rnacentral:rRNA from 1 species